rnacentral:rRNA from 1 species
ACAUGCCUACAGCAUAGAUUUAAUGCACUAGAUCCCAUUAGAACUUCAUAGUUAAGCACGCUCAGGCUAGAGUAGUACUAGGAUGGGUGACUGCCCAAGAAGUCCUAGUGUUUUGCAUGCC